GUUUUGCAUCUCUACUUAGCCCUCCCCUGCCCCCCUGAAGUCAGGAAAAGGUCUGGGAGUCCUUUGUCUGCCCCAAAAUAUCUAGAAUUUUGUCUGCAGGGCUGGAGAGUUUGUGGAACCUGAACUCUGCUCCCCAGAUCUACAACAUUGCAGCUGAUGUGGUUUGUUCUGCCCUAGCCCCCGUUCUCAUACUUAAGCCGGAAGGAACAAAAGUCGGGGCUGGGUAUGGGGAAGGGGCAUGAAUCAUGUUGGCCUUAGUCAAGCCAGUUCGGGUCAGCCUCCCUGCCUGAGGGCCCCUCUUCCUCUUCCCAGCAACCCUGGCAGCAUAGGGCAAUUCUGAACUUGCUCAGAAAGGUAGAUGGGUAGGAGUGUGCUGGGCCCUCCACACUGCCCUCUGCUGACUUUAGACAGUGCACUCUUCAUUUUAUUCCUCCAUGAAUAGGGCACCUUAAGAUGUCUGUGUUUCUGAAUAGCCAACAGGGGCCCUGGAUAGGGGGCAGAGGAGGUCAAGAAAGAUGCAGGACCAGGAUGUGGCAAUAUCCUCCUCCGGGGGAUCAUGGCCCACCUGGGAUUAGGGGGACAAGAGAAAUUGGAGUUUGGAGACAG
rnacentral:lncRNA from 1 species